rnacentral:rRNA from 1 species
CGCAUCUGUGCAUGCAGCAUAUCAAUAAGCGGAGGAAAAGAAACUAACAAGGAUUCCCCUAGUAACGGCGAGUGAAGCGGGAAGAGCUCAAAUUUGAAAUCUUAAAGGGUUUCCCUUUACGAAUUGUAGUUUAAAGAAGUGUUUUCUGUUGAGGUUUUGGUAAAAGUUCUUUGGAAUAGGACAUCAUAGAGGGUGAGAAUCCCGUAUUUGGACCUUUACUUUCAACUUUGUGAUACACUUUCAAAGAGUCGGAUUGUUUGGGAAUGCAGUCCAAAAUGGGUGGUAAAUUUCAUCUAAAGCUAAAUAUUGGCGAGAGACCGAUAGCGAACAAGUACCGUGAGGGAAAGAUGAAAAGAACUUUGAAAAGAGAGUUAAACAGUACGUGAAAUUGUCAAAAGGGAAGCGUUUGACACCAGUGUUGUUUUUCUGAAAAUCAAUUAAAGAACUGUUUAUGCUAAGCUGUUUAGACUUUAUCAGCUAAUCUGUUUAGUUUUGAGCUUUUCUUUAAUGCACUUUUCAGUUAACAAGUCAACAUCAAUUUCUUUUGCUGUAAAAAAGCUUGAGGAAGGUGGCUUGAGAUUCGUCUUAAGUGUUUAUAGCCUCUUGCCUAUGCAGUCGGAGAGAUUGAGGUCUGCAGCGUAGAUCCUUCGGGGCUAAAUGCAUUUGUGCUAAGUUAUAGCAUUUUAUAGACAACUUGUUGACUAUGAUUUGUCUUGUAGCUUACUCGCUUAUGUUAUUUUACCUACGCUUAGGAUGUUGAGUCAUCACACAUCUCU